GGUGCUUCCGGGCCGCGCCGGGCGGGGCGAGGCCGGACCAGGCGGAAGCUGCGCCUGACGUGCUGGGUGGCCGCAGCCCGCGCCCAAGUAAAGUCUAUUACUUGUAGAGGAAGAGUCGGUGUGAAAAUGGAUUGGGGGAGCAAGACUGGAGGCCACGAGACCCAUUAGGAGGCUGCUACAAUCUGGGUUUGUGGCCUGAGCAUCUGAGUGAAUGUGAUCCCAGUCACUGAAAAGAUCACAGAAGUGUGAAGGAACAGGUUUGGAGAGAAGAUAAUAUGUUUAUUUAAAGAUGUAAUUCACAUAUCAAAAUUCACACUUUAAAGUGUGCAAUUCAGUGGUUUUUAAUACAUUUGCAAGAUUAUGCAGCCAUCAUCACUAUCAAUUCCAGAACAUUUUAUUACUUCCAAAUAGAAACUGCCGUGCCACCGUUAUUCACUCCUCAUUCCCGUUUACCCCAUUCCCUGGCUGUUACUAAUCUGCUUUCUGUUUCUAUAGGUUUCCUGUUCUGUACAUUUUAUAUACAUGGAAUCAAACAAUAUGGGUGGCCUUUUCAGUCUGGCUUUUACUAAGCAUGAUUUUAAGGUUCAUCCAUGUUGUAGCAUGAAUCAGUACUCCAUUCCUUUUCGUGGCUGAAUAAUAUUCCAGUGCAUGGAUAUACCACAUUGUUUCCCUGUUUAUCAAAUGAUGGACACGGUUGUUUCCACUUUUUGACUUAUAAAUAAUGGUGCUAUGAACAUUUCUGUACAAGUUUUUGUGCACUAGGAGUGGAAUUACUGGGUAAAACUACAUUUAGUUCUGAAUAUUGAGUUUCAAAUGCUAAUAGGACUUUCAAGUAAUUUUUCUGUAUAAAGGAGUUAGGUGUUACUUGCUUUCCGGCUUUAGAAACCUAUUAGGUUGUAACAUGGUUUCCACUUGGAUUAGUUAAGUAGAUAAGAUUGGUAGGCAGCUCAGUGGCAUGAAUGGAGUUGGGGUCAGGUGUCUAAAAUCCCUUGGGAUUUUAAUUUAUAGAGGUGGACUGAGUGACAAGAUGGAGAGGCCAGUGCCAUUGAAAGAAUUUAUUACUUAACAUUUCCCAAGAAAAGAGGGCAUGCCACAAUAUGCAGAGCCACAGGGGAAGCGUCAGCUUUUGAUCAGGAAGAAGUAGAAACAAGGAGAAAGCUAGGCCAGAGCCUUUAUGGGGUUUCCACAGGAAUAACACGUCAGGGCAGAGUAGACAUUUUAGGAUUGGGUAAUUUAAAUACUUCCAGCUGGCUUUAACUUUGGGUGUUUUCUAGUUGCCUGGUACCUGGCCAUGGGCUGGUUUAGGACAGGAGAAAUAAUUGGCUUCAUGUGUGAGAGUUAGAUAAAGGGGGUGGUAGGCUUACUAUGAAAGGUAUGCUCCCCAGUAAGUUGUUUACUCUCUUUAGUAAUUAGCUAGUUCUGAGAGAGUUUUUCUCUGCCAGUAAGAUUUUUUAAGAUGUCAAAAUAUAAGAUACAGAAGAAGGUUUUAAAUGACUAGUACUCAUGGACAUGGCUGGGAUAAUGUGAAGGACAAUUGUAAAGGUAGAGAUUAUUUUUCUCCAGUAAGAUUGAAAACAGAGUACCUGAAUCCUAUUUAGGAUUUAAGCUUCUUAGAAUCUAGACCAGUAAAGGAAGCUCUGUCUCCCUAUCCCAACCCAAAAUCUGGCUAUAUUAUUUAUUUACAUAAAAUAAGUUAGUUUAGGCUGGGCACAAUGGCUCAUGCCUAUAAUUCUAGCACUCUG